GAGGAGGGAGCGCGGACAUGUGCCCCGAGAAGCGGCCUCGGUGGGUGGGAGAUCCCGGUCGGGACGCGGAGCCCCUCCUCCAGUGCAGGAAAGUGACUUUAGGGAUCCCCAGACCCGGCGGCUCCCCCGAGUCAGAAACGCCCCUCCGUGCGGCGCCAGGACCCAUUCAUAUGUCUGCUUCAGAAGGCUGUAAAAGGAGAACUGGAACCCAGCGUAGGGAAAGAUGGCUAUCAAGGUGGGGUUCAAUCCUUUGUAGAAGACCAAGGGGCCUUCGGUCCUAUACAUGCUCACCACAGCGGCUCGCAGACUUUUGUAGACCUGGACACAUACAUGUGCAUAUGGGAUAAAGAGAAACUGAGAUAGAAGGAGGAGACAGGGAGAGAGACACCUGCAGACCUGCUUCAUCAUUUGUGAAGAUUCUCCCCAAGGGUCUUGAACCCUGGUCCUUGAGCAUGAUUCACUCAGCAAAUGACUCACACACCAGUACAUUAACCAAGAAAAAGAAGAAGAAGAAGAAGAAAAAAAAAAAGGAUUCACUGUCCAGUAAUUUUCAAGGCUGGAUUUCUUAUGCAUCUCAUUUUUUUAACCAGAGCACUGGUCAGCUCUGGUUUUGGUGGGGGGGGGGGAUAUUGAUCCUGGAACUUCAGAGCCUCAGGCAUGACAGUUUGUUUGCAUAACCAUUACGCUAUCUACCCCCACCCUCCUAUGCAUCUCAACUUUUCUUUUUCCCUUCCUCCCUCCCUCCCUCCCUUUUUUUUUUUUUUUAAAUUUUUUAUUACCUUUAUUUAUUGGAUAGACACAGCCAGAAAUUGCGACAGUAGGGGAGAUAGAAAAGGAGAGAGAAAGAGACAUCCUUGCAGUACUGCUUCACCACUGGUAAAGCUUCCCCCCCACCCCACAGGUGGGGACCAGGGGCUCGAACCUGGAUCCUUGAGCAUUGUAACAUAUGCUCUCUACCAGGUGUGCCACCACCCAAUCCCUCUCUCCUUUCUUUCUCUCUUUCUUCCUUCCUUCCUUCCUUCCUUCCUUCCUUCCUUCCUUUCUUUUUCUUCCAGGCUUAUCACUGGGGCUCUAUUCAGGCAUA